UGUGUAUCUCAAUAUAAAACCGUGACGAGAUAAAAGAAAAACGCCUUCCUAAAAACCACAACAUUUAAAUAUCACAGUGACGACGACAACUACAAAUUUGUGGCACAAAUGAUAUUUACAAUAAAUCAACGUUACAAUAUUAUAAUAUUCACGCUGGAGCCUUUAGUAACUUAAAUAAAAAUAAAUGAAACAAAAUAAAAAUGUACUCAACUAAAUGGCACCGUAUGUCCUUACCUACAGUGAUAACCUACAUUUUGACCAGGGCCCGUUGGAAAACCUUCUGCACAGAAAACUGUGGCCUUCUCUGAACAAUCUGACAUCAUAGAUGGGACAUUCUAGAACCACUAGAAGGGACAUUCUAGAACCACUAGAAGGGACGUUCUAGAACCACUAGAAGGGACAUUCUAGAACCACUAGAAGGGACAUUCUAGAACCACUAGAAGGGACAUUCUAGAACCACUAGAAGGGACAUUCUAGAACCACUAGAAGUCCUCGGUUCCACAACUUCCUGUCAACACGUUUUUAACCUUUUCACAUUUUAAAGACAACAGAAAGAUGAUGAAAUGUUUAAAAAAAAAAAAAAUUGCUAAAUUUGGUUUUAAAAAUCUUUUUUUUGUUUGUUUGUUUGUCUAAAUGAAAGGAGAGAAUUACCUCCAGAGCUGAGAAUGAAAACAUAUCUGUAGCCAUCACCAAAGCCUGAGUCUAAAAGCCUGUUUUAAACUAAAGAUACACUUGUAUCAGUGUGAGGAAAAUGUCAAAACUUGUUACAUCCAAAAAAUAAGAAUUAAAAUACAAAAAUAACAGAAAAUAUUCAAAACCUUCAAUAUUGUGGAAGGGGACGAUUUAAAACAAUGUCAAAAUGAAAAAAAAAUGAAAAAUACUUCUUUAAAAGAAAAAUGUGUAUGUUUUUUUUUUAAUUCAAAUUUUCUAGUGUCAAAAAACUAAAUCUUGCUGUGUUUUUCUCCUCUCUGUCUCUGUCUCGUGGCGUCUUAAUAUUUGAAUGUAUUUUUUCUGCCAAUUUGCCAAAGAUAUCACGUCACUGAAUUUCUCUCUUUUUUUGAAUUUUGGUUUUCAACAUUUUUUUUUUUGUUCUGUAAAACUGGAAAUAAAUAAAUAAGUGACUUUGAUAUUAUGCUUAUUUUUGUUUUUAUAUAUAUAUAUAUAUAACUGUUGUUAUUGUUAAUAAUAAUGAUUAUAAUAUUAUUUUAGUUCUUAUGGGGUUGAUUUGUUCUUGUGAAAUGUUGACUUGCAGUUCGCUGGGUGCAUCUAUUGUUACACAAUCAGUCUAUGGUAAGGGUCCUAAAUAACACCCUAAAAUCUCUUUUUAUAACAGUGUACUUCUAUUGAAAAGUAGUGCACUACAAAGGGAAUAGGGUGGGAUUUAAGCCAGAUUGUAAUAUGUGCAUCUGUCCUCCUGACCAACAGAGUGUGUGUGUGUGUGUGUGUGUGUUUUGUGAAUCUUGGAUUUAUGUACUGUACGGUGAAGAAACAAAGUCAAUAUUUGUAAAUAUUUGCCAUAAUUUUAUUGGGUUCUUCAGA
rnacentral:lncRNA from 1 species